rnacentral:rRNA from 1 species
UCAGGACGAACGCUGGCGGCGUGCCUAAUACAUGCAAGUCGAACGGCUUUUCUAUGGAAGCUUGCUUCCACUGAGAAGAUAGUGGCGAAACGGGUGAGUAACACGUGGGUAACCUGCCCAUAAGAGGGGGGAUAACAUCCGGAAACGGGUGCUAAUACCGCAUAGUUUUCUUGAUCGCAUGAUUGAGAAAGGAAAGACGGCCUUUGUGCUGUCGCUUAUGGAUGGACCCGCGGCGUAUUAGUUAGUUGGUGAGGUAACGGCUCACCAAGACGAUGAUACGUAGCCGACCUGAGAGGGUGAUCGGCCACAUUGGGACUGAGACACGGCCCAAACUCCUACGGGAGGCAGCAGUAGGGAAUCUUCCGCAAUGGACGAAAGUCUGACGGAGCAACGCCGCGUGAGUGAAGAAAAGGUUUUCGGAUCGUAAAACUCUGUUGUCAGAGAAGAACAAGUUGGAGAGUAACUGCUCCAGCCUUGACGGUAUCUAACCAGAAAGCCACGGCUAACUACGUGCCAGCCGCUGC